rnacentral:misc_RNA from 1 species
GGUGGGGGCGUCAUUCACGUCGCUGGUCAUGAUGUACCAGGGGAUGGUCUUGCCCGCCUCGCGGCCCCAGUUCAGCAGCUGCUCGGCGAAGACCUGGAACAGCGGCUUGUUCUUGAUCGGCGUGACCGGGUACUCGCCCUUGGGCCCGUCAUACCCCAGCCGCGUACCCUGCCCACCGGCGACGAGAAACGCCGCGACCUUCCCCGCCUUCAGCAACUCGCGGCCGCGUUUUUCGGCGUCGGCGUAGAGCUGCUUCUGGUCCUCCCGCGGCGUGUGGGGAUACGCCUUCACGGGCUGGAUGUUCUGGGGGAUGGGGAUCUGGGCUUUGACCUUCACCUGCGUGUCGAUGAUGCCCUUGAGCCCUUCCAAGUCGAGCGCCGACAGCUGAUCGUCCAGCUUCUUCUUUCCCGCGUCCGGCAGCG